rnacentral:rRNA from 1 species
GUCUAUGGCCAUGCUACCCUGAACGUGCCCGAUCUCGUCUGAUCUCAGAAGCUAAGCAGGGUCAGGCCUGGAUAGUACCUGGAUAGGAGACCACCUAGGAAUACCAGCUGCUGUAGGCA